CAGAGCGCGGGGUCCUUCGGCGCCGUCGCGGGCUUCGCCAUCGCCGUCGUCUUCGCGUGGAAGUUCCUGCGCUCCUCCUCGACGCCCAGGCCCCGCCGGCCCGCCGCCCCCAAGCGGCCCUCGGCCGCCGGCUCGGCCGCGCUCGCCCCCGACGGCCCGGCCGAGCCCGCCGGCGACUCUGGGACGCUGACGAGGCGGCAGAUCGUGGCGAGGCGGCUCGGUGGGUGCAGAAGGGUCACUUGCCAACUAAUCGGUAUUGUAUUUGAGGAGAAAACUCCCGAGGAGCUUCAGAACCAUGCCACUGUUAAGCCCUCAGUGGUGGAACUACUACUAGAAAUAUCCAAAUACUGUGAUUUUUAUCUGAUGGAAACUGUACUUGAUGAUAAGAGUGAGGAGAAUGCUCUUAUGGCUCUGGAGAAUGCCGGGCUUUUCAAGUCUGGUGGCUUGAUGAAAGAAAAGGUACUCUUUUGCAGCAGUGAAGUAGGCCGAACUUCGUUUGUUCGACAGUUGGAGUCGGAUUUCCACAUCGACGCAAGCCUCGAGAUAAUUUCCCAACUAUCUCGGUUCAUUCGGUGCCAGCUAUUCGUGUCCUCCAUGGAAGGAGGACAGCUCGCAGCCAAUGUAUUUAACUCCCCGAGCCUGGAGCAGUUCUUCUCUUGA
rnacentral:rRNA from 1 species